rnacentral:sRNA from 1 species
UGUUAGAUCAUCUUUCGAGUAUAUGCACAGGAGAGGUAUAGCUGGGUUGACACACUUGAGAGCAUAGAAAAUGAAUUAUUCUUUAUCUCAGAUGUCUGUUGUUGCUCAGAGUCAGUGGUUGUAUGGUUAGGCCACAUUUCGAGGGGCAGGAUCUGCCCAAGCUCCAGGCUGCUACACAGGACCCUGCACAGUACCUUGACCUUGGUGCUGGCUGCCCUGCUGAUAGGUGUCCUGGCCAUGACCAUUUUGUGUUUGUGGCUCCCUGGCAGGCCUUCAGCCCCCCACUCUCCAGCACCCACACCCCAUGGGUAUUGCAAACUGCAGCAGCUGGGUCUGCAGGGACAUGGGUUAAGGUGUUCUUGGUAGUAGUUCAAGCCUCCCGGGAGCCAAAGGACAGACUCUACUCACAAGCUCCUUUGCCAGCUGACUGUGCACCCAUUCCUGUGGCAUCCACUGGGACUUUAGUCCUGCUUCUCUCUGCCACAGGUUCCAUUCCAUUUCACCAGUUUUUUUUUUAUCCUAAGUUUUUAUUUCUGUUUCUAUAUCUUGAAUAGUUUUGCCUAAAGCAAAUAUUAUCUUUCUCAUGCUGCUAAAGUAAUGCCUACCUGAUUAUCUUUGACAACAGAGAUUAUUUUUUUCUCCCUUCUGAAGGCUAGCAGCACAGUCAGGGUGUCAGCAGGUCCCGGCACUCUCAGGCUAUGAAGGAGAAUCUGUUCUUGGCUUUGUUCCUUCCUGGAAGCUGUUGGGCCAUCUUUGAUGUCUUUGCCGUCACCUUCACGUGUGUUCUCUUCAUGCAUACGUUUGUUUCUGUGUCCAUGCUUCCCGAUUUAUAAGCAUGCAAGUGAUAUUGGACCAGAAUUUACUCUAAUGACUUCAUUUGAUUUUGAUUACUUGUAAAAAUUUCAUUUUCAGAUAAGAGCACAUUCAGGAACUAGUGUUUAGGACACCAUCUGGGAAGAUAAACUGUAUGAAUAGCUAACGUUUCUGAAGAAGUAUAUCUGGAAGUUCUUUAAUAGUGGUUUUAUAUAUACGUGUGAAGUUUAUUAAAAUACUGGGAUAAUUAUGAGUGUAUGCCAAUCGAUGAGUCAUGUCUAAAUAUUUGUUUUUGAGACAGGACUUGUUUAGUCUUACAAAAAAUAUAUACAUACAUAGUUUAAUGAAAGAUUUUCUAUGUGGACUGACAAGAGCCAUAAACUAACCAAGGCCUUAGCGCCAGGUAUGAGAAUCUAUUUUUGAAUUCUUGGCUGCUGUUGUCCAAGAGACUUCCAAAACAUUUUGGGUUAUUUAUGUUGCUAUUGGUUACCCCAAAGGUGGACAUUGAUAAGUCCCAUGAAGACAUCAAGCACUUCAGACACAGGACCAGAGGAUUUGAACUAUAUGCAACCUGAAAGCCUCAUUCCUGAGGACCACCUUGCAUAAUAUGAGAAAGUGCCACAUGUACUUCCAAAGGAGAGAAGAAGCAACAGUCCUUCCUAGACCCAGCUGUACAUCCUGUGCACUGCAACAAUGACCAGAAUGGCAAGCGUGCCCUAUGGGUAUGGUACUGAUACACAUUCCUUGUUGGUGGCCAUGCGAUGGCAUCAUAGGUUGCUGCAGAUGGUUUCAAUGGUUCUGUUGGAUGUUCUUCAUCUGUGCCUGCAAGAGGCGCCCAAGGCUUUAUGUAUGGCCAUUGCUAUGACCUAGUGUGAUGCUCUACUUUCCCGCUGAACUUUACUUGCUAGAACUGAGGAGCUUGGCUAUAAUUUAGCCUUUUCUUUUUGUAUUUAGCUGUUGUUGAGGAAGGAGCUUUGGGAAUAGAAGUAACCAGGCAGCAGGUCCAUUUUCACUGUUGAAGGCAGCUGAAAACUCAUCCCUACUGAUGAUCAACUAACCACAAAUGGAAUUUCAAAGAAGAUUCUAUAUAAGUUUUCACCUUGAAAUGUUUUAUCAUUUCAAACUAAGAAGUUUGGAUUUUAUCCUGAGAUUUUAUCACAUAACUGUGACAAUUCCAGAUCAGAGAGAAGAAAAUAAUGCUGGAGACAUUGACACAUAGGUGAGAGGUGAAAGUAAAUUGAACUAGGGUGGAUGGCAGGAAUAGAGAGAAGUAGAGAUAUUCAUAGGACAGAAGAACCAGGGUCUUAUGACUGGUCUGCUACAUGAGGAGCAGGAAUGAAGGUUGAUUAGGAUCUAAGGCAGAGAGCUUUUUUUUUUUUUUUUUUUUUUGAUUCUUUUUUUCGGAGCUGGGGACCGAACCCAAGGCCUUGCGCUUCCUAGGUAGGCAGAGAGCUUUACAGUGGUUCUUGUAUAAGAUAUAAAGAUUGAAGACAUGUACAAUGUGUCAGUCAAUAGCAGCAUAGUGGAUUGAGUUCUAGGUAGACUGAAUUUUAAAUUUCCAAUUGUGUCUAAAUAUUUUCCAUAGAUAUUAACCUAUGAUAGUAAUGUUUAGUAUAGUUUAUAGAAGUUAGGUGAAUAUAAAAAUCUAUUAAUUUUAACUAUGUUAAAUGAUAGUGUGACAUUCACUUUUAAAUAGUUAAGGCUAUAAUUAGUGUGUUAGAGUCAAUACUUGAUUCAUUUCUUCUAGUGGUCCAAAGAAUCCAAUACAAGACAUAAAAAAUAGUUUGGUGAGAUGAUUUGUACAACAGGCUAGAAACUGGCUUUCCAAAUGAGACUACUGCAAUAUUUAUAUAACACCCCCAAUGUGUUUUACUUAAAAUCAGGAAUCUAUUGAUAUAUCUAUAGGAAGAACCUUGGUAAGUGAAUUGGCCUAUGAGAUCUGUCAUUGGUAAGACAUUCUAGAAUUUCAUCAAGCAGAUUAGGUACCUAAGAUUGUUAAAAUAUGUUAAUUUAAUGUACACAUUUUGUCAUUAAGGAAACUCUUAUGUGUUAGAAAAAUUAAUUGUUACUUUUUACUAUUUUUGUUUGUGUAUAUUCACUGUACAAAAUAACAGGUUUCAUGAUGGCAUUUUAGUAUGUGUGUAUCAUGUACUUUUUUUGAGUCUGCUUUAUUUCAGUUAACACGGUGAUCUCUAGUUCAAUAGUUUCGUGUAAAUAUUGUAAUUUUAUUCUUAUUUAUGCUUGAAUAAAAUUAAACUGUGAAUAGA